UAAGCAUAUCAAUAAGCGGAGGAAAAGAAACCAACAGGGAUUGCCUCAGUAACGGCGAGUGAAGCGGCAACAGCUCAAAUUUGAAAUCUGGCCUUCCGGUCCGAGUUGUAAUUUGCAGAGGAUGCUUCGGGCGCGGUGCCUUCCAAGUCCCCUGGAACGGGGCGCCGGAGAGGGUGAGAGCCCCGUACGGUUGGCGGCCAAGCCUGUGUGAAGCUCCUUCGACGAGUCGAGUAGUUUGGGAAUGCUGCUCUAAGCGGGAGGUAGACCCCUUCUAAAGCUAAAUAUUGGCCAGAGACCGAUAGCGCACAAGUAGAGUGAUCGAAAGAUGAAAAGCACUUUGAAAAGAGGGUUAAACAGCACGUGAAAUUGUUGAAAGGGAAGCGCUUGCGACCAGACGUGCGCCGGGGUGCUCAGCGGGCGUUCUCGCCCGUGCACUCGCCCCGGUGCAGGCCAGCGUCGGUUUGGGCGGGGGGAUAAAGGCGCCUGGAAUGUGGCUCCCUCGGGAGUGUUAUAGCCAGGCGUGCCAUGCCUCCGCCCGGACCGAGGUACGCGUUCUGCAAGGACGCUGGCGUAAUGGUCCCCAGCGACCCGUCUUGAAACACGGACCAAGGAGUCGAGGUUUUGCGCGAGUGUUUGGGUGGAAAACCCGCACGCGUAAUGAAAGUGAACGUAGGUGAGAGCUUCGGCGCAUCACCGACCGAUCCUGAUGUUUUCGGAUGGAUUUGAGUAAGAGCGUAGGGCCUCGGACCCGAAAGAAAGUGAACUAUGCUUGGAUAGGGUGAAGCCAGAGGAAACUCUAGAGGGGGCUCGCAGCGGUUCUGACGUGCAAAUCGAUCGUCAAAUCUGAGCAUGGGGCGAAAGACUAAUCGA
rnacentral:rRNA from 1 species